GAUGAACGCUAGCGGCAGGCCUAAUACAUGCAAGUCGAACGGGAUUAAGAGGCUUGCUUCUUAUGAGAGUGGCGCACGGGUGCGUAACACGUAUGCAACCUACCUUCAACUGGGGGAUAGCCUUCCGAAAGGGAGAUUAAUACCGCAUAACAUAAUUGAACGGCAUCGUUUAAUUAUCAAACUUCCAGGGGUUGAAGAUGGGCAUGCGUCCGAUUAGUUAGUUGGUGAGGUAACGGCUCACCAAGACAUCGAUCGGUAGGGGAUGUGAGAGGAUUGCCCCCCGAACUGGUAAUGAGACCCGGACCAGACUCGUAAGGGAGGCAGCAGUAAGGAGUAUUGGUCAAUGGACCCAAGUCUGAACCAGCCAUGCCGCGUGCAGGAAGACGGUCCUCUGGAUUGUAAACUGCUUUUAUUAGGGAAGAAACCAUCGGAUGCGUUCGAGGCUGACGGUACCUAAAGAAUAAGGAUCGGCUAACUCCGUGCCAGCCGCCGCGGUAAGAC
rnacentral:rRNA from 1 species